GACGAACGCUGGCGGCGUGCUUAACACAUGCAAGUCGAACGGAGCACCCUUGACUGAGGUUUCGGCCAAAUGAUAGGAAUGCUUAGUGGCGGACUGGUGAGUAACGCGUGAGGAACCUGCCUUUCAGAGGGGGACAACAGUUGGAAACGACUGCUAAUACCGCAUGACACAUAAGAAUCGCAUGGUCUUUAUGUCAAAGAUUUAUCGCUGAAAGAUGGCCUCGCGUCUGAUUAGCUAGUUGGUGAGGUAACGGCCCACCAAGGCGACGAUCAGUAGCCGGACUGAGAGGUUGACCGGCCACAUUGGGACUGAGAUACGGCCCAGACUCCUACGGGAGCAGCAGUGGGGAAUAUUGGGCAAUGGGCGCAAGCCUGACCCAGCAACGCCGCGUGAAGGAAGAAGGCUUUCGGGUUGUAAACUUCUUUUAAGUGGGAAGAGCAGAAGACGGUACCACUUGAAUAAGCCACGGCUAACUACGUGCCAGCAGCCG
rnacentral:rRNA from 1 species